GGUGAUAUAAAUUUAACGGCCGCGGUAUUUUGACCGUGCAAAGGUAGCAUAAUCAUUUGCCUCUUAAUUAGAGGCUUGUAUGAAUGGAUAUAUGAGAUUAAAGCUGUCUCUUUUCCUACUAUAUAAAUUGUCUUACAGGUGCAGAGACUUGUAUAUUAAUGAAAGACAAAAAGACCCUAUUGAGCUUUAUUUUUAUUGGGUUUAAGUGAAAAAAUUUAUUUUAUGACCGUAAAGAAUUUGGUUGGGGCGACAUAGAAAUAUAUAAAUCUUUCUUUUAAUUUAAGAAUUUUAGUUCUUUUUAAGGAUCUAUAUAAUAGAAAGCAGAAUUAGUUACCAUAGGGAUAACAGGCUAAUUCUUUUGGAGAGUUCAUAUUGAUAAAAGAGUUUGGCACCUCGAUGUUGGCUUAAGAUAUCCUAUAGGUGUAGCAGUUUAUAAGGGUUGGUUUGUUCAACCAUUAAAAUCUU
rnacentral:rRNA from 1 species